GCCCCCCGCCCGUCUCGCCCCGUAUUCCCGCCGCUCCCUGCCCACCUUACCGCGGCGGGGCCGGGGGGCCCCGAGCCAGGCUGGGACAUGGCGGACGGAGAGGCUGCAGGCGGGGGGCGAUCGGCGGCGGCGCGAAGGGGAGAACGCUGCCUAGCCGCGCGGCCAGUCCCUCCUCUUCCUGCCGGGCCGGGGGGGCCGGGGCAGGGCGUCCCAGCUCGCUCCUCCAACGCAGGAGCGGCUUGCGUUGUGUGGCUGUUGUCAAGGUUUGGGGCGGGAGGGGGAAGUGUCGACACUUUCCAACUUUCAAGUGGAGUUACUGACAGUUUUACUGCUUUCUCCCCCCGUGGUAGGCCUUUUCCCGCAGCCUCUUGCCGAGGCUUGUGGAUUCCCACAGUCCUGAGCGCAAAGCUGCUCGUCCUGUGGUGGCCUCAACCUGGGACUGAGACGUGUCCCGCAGCACUGAGGCUCCUGUCCAUAGUACUAACUGGGUACUUGGUCAGAAAGCUUUCCCAGUAUCCCAGCCCGUGGAGUCCUCACAGAACUGAGCUCCUGACUAACAACAGUAAUGACAGCUCUUCCAGAAUACGGCAGGGGUUGUCAUGGUCACACAGAGCUGCUGGAAGUUGAAUCAUGACUGAGUAACUGUGAUCAAAACAGAUAUUCUCUAUAAUAAGGGUAAUAAGAGCAGCAGUGGUUUCUGGACAUGUAUGUGUGUGCUGAGGUCGCAUAUGCCAACAGGAGGAACAAGAAGUUUUCAGGGAGUGCUCCUUCCCUUACCAGCCACGCUCCCUGAAGCAGGAGGACAAAGUCCUGCCCAGCCGCAGAUCAAAGCCAGCUGCUGGGAAGCAGCCCUAGUCGGUGCAGUUGGAUGGGUGGGUGUAUGUGAGGCCCCAGAAUGGCUUCAGCCUCCAGGAGAGAAGCAGGGUGGGUCAGGCACAUCCCCUGCCUGAGGCGUUCCCUGCUCUUCCUGCACUUGGUGCGCUCAUCACUGGCCUUUGAAGUGAUUCAAUAGCAUGUACAGGUUUUGCUUUCCACUCUGCCUCAGAUUUUAAGCACAUGAGUUCACUGUGACGGGAAGAACAGCACGGAGUCCUUCAGCUGCAGGCAGAAGGCCUGUCUGACUCAGUACUCCACGUAGGCAAGUUCGUGUGCUUCGCCCCUUCUAUUGCUACAUGCCUUGUGACAGCAACCAAAGCCGUCAGUGACUGAAAUCCUGGAGUCACACAGAAAUGAGGCAGUAAUACAGGAAAAGCUUCAUGCUGAUCAGUGUCCAGCAGGGUGUUGAGGGUUCUGCUGAUCCAGCACAAGGUAAAUUUUACGUUCCUUGUUGGGAAGUUAGGCAUAAGACAGGAGGUUUGAAACAACCCUCAGAAAUCCUGUUCAGGUCUGCCGUACGUACCUACACAGAAGGACAUACUCUGGAAGAACUCAGCCUGCAUCACCCUGUGCAUAACAUGGCAGCCCUGCCUGGCUCAGAAGGCAUGGCGGAUGCCCUCCAGCACGGGAUAGCUGCAGGGAGGAGCACAGAGCCUUAAUCCAGAUCUUGCAGCAUCUGCAUGCACCUGCAGUGUUCUGGAGAUUGAUUGGGUUUCUAUGUCAUGUUGUUGUUGUUUCCAUUUCAUUUUCUAACAAUUCCUUCACAGCAUCUGCGUUUCUCUUGCAAGUGAGCAAACCCACAGAUACAUGCUGAGAUUUUACAUGGCUCUGGGAGGUCUGCCAAGGGCUGAUCAUGAACAGACGCAGAAGAUGAUGAGCAGUCCAAAAAUUGUUUGUUCAGUGUAUAUCAGCUGGAGCUCUAUGCUUUAAACAGUCGUUUAGAUAUGCACUUUGUGGGUAUAUUUAUACUUAAUCCAAGGUACUGGCAGACAAACUGGAAUGCAGAAUCACUGGUUCGUAUUUCUCUACCAUACUCAGUCUCCAGAGGUCUCCAGUUACUGUGAUAUGCCUGUGGAUAAAAAGGUGCUGAAAGUUCUACCAAGAUCCAACUAAUUUUUUUUGCCACGUAUAUAUAUAUCAUUAACAUAACUUCCAUAAGAGUAGUUCUGCAAGUUCAUGAGUCAUUCCGCAAAUUAAUGAAAUUUAAAAUUUCGUGUAUAAUUGGAUUUUCAUCUGCAACAGUUUUAAAAAAAAGAAGUACAGAAGUAUAAAACAAGUCAAACAAGUUGUUUGCUUAGCCUCCCCCCUCUUCCUCUGACGAGAAACUCUUGUCAGUUUUCUUUCUGUUCUCUUCCCCUGAACUCCAGACAUUGCCUCCUUACGGCCAUUGCAGGAUUUACCUUUUUUCAUUGGGUGACUGCAGUCCCGCCCUGCUUUAACACACCAACAUUAAUGAAGUCUGGAUUGAAGACUUACUGGUGGACUGCAUCCCACUGCUAAAUGGAAACUUGCUUUGCACAGACAGAAGUCUUGACCCUUACACCAACCAAGACAGAAUCAACACCAAAACAGGUGUUGAUUCUAUAGCCUUCCUUGAUUUCUGUAAAUAUAACAAAAUAUUGAUAUAUUGAUAUAUAACAAAAUAUUGAUCUGGAACUUAAUUAAAAAAAUUAAAUUUGAAAUUAAAUAAUUCUUGAAGAUGAAUUUAAUUGAUGUAUACAGAUAAAUAAAGACUUAUUGAAGGUU